AGAAGUAAUCACCCCCCUGAACAUGCACCAUUUUGAGUAUUUCCUGGGGGACUGCUUCUGUUUAUGGUACUUGCUGAGUAACGAAUCAUGAGGAAUAGCUCUUAUGCCAAAAACAAUGCAGAUGAACUUGUAGUAUUCUGUGACAUAGGCUAGUCGUAUGCCUGGAUGCACUGCAAAGUUUUAUGCAGUUCAAGUUGUUUACUGUAGUAUAUGCAAGACCCUGUUUACACAGUACCAGACGAAUUGGGAACCAGACUGAAAUUUGUUCGUUUUGGCCGCCCAUUUACACAAGAACCACAGGACCGGAUGAACUUAAGGUCUACCCCCCAACCGGACAAAUUUGCGUGUAAACAGGCACAAAAGGACGAAUUUCAGUCUGGUCGCAAAUUUGUGCGGCAUCAUGUAAACGUGGGUCUAAAUCGGCUUUUAUGAGGCCUAGAUCGAGACAGGCAUAUUACACAAUGUGUUUACAAAAUACAGAAAUUACAUUACAAAAAAAUUGAAAUACAUUACAAAAUACAGAA